UACGGAGGGUGCAAGCGUUAUCCGGAUUCACUGGGUUUAAAGGGUGCGUAGGUGGACAUUUAAGUCAGUGGUGAAAUCUUUGGGCUUAACCCGAAAACUGCCAUUGAUACUAUUUGUCUUGAAUUCUCUGGAGGUAAGCGGAAUAUGUCAUGUAGCGGUGAAAUGCUUAGAUAUGACAUAGAACACCCAUUGCGAAGGCAGCUUACUACGGAGUUAUUGACACUGAGGCACGAAAGCGUGGGUAGCAAACAGG
rnacentral:rRNA from 1 species